GGGGGGUGGCCAGAUCUUGGGCUGUGUCCCCGGCGGCCAGUGCUCCCGGGCCUGCGCUGUUGGAUUCACACUCCUGGUGGCACAGCCCCCU
rnacentral:pre_miRNA from 1 species